rnacentral:rRNA from 1 species
GACGAACGCUGGCGGCGUGCUUAACACAUGCAAGUCGAACGGAAAGGCCUGCUUUCCCUUGUGGAUUGCGGGUACUCGAGUGGCGAACGGGUGAGUAACACGUGAGUGAUCUGCCCCCAACUUGGGUAUAAGCCUGGGAAACUGGGUCUAAUUCCCGAUAGGACUGCAGGGUGGUGCCUGUGGUGGAAAACGAUUUUCUAGUGGUUGGGGAUGAGCUCGCGGCCUAUCAGCUUGUUGGUGGGGUAAUGGCCUACCAAGGCGGCGACGGGUAGCCGGCCUGAGAGGGUGGACGGCCACAUUGGGACUGAGAUACGGCCCAGAGUCCUACGGGAGGCAGCAGUGGGGAAUAUUGCACAAGGGGCGGAAGCCUGAUGCAGCGACGCCGCGUGGGGGAUGACGGCCUUCGGGUUGUAAACUCCUUUCGACCGCGAGGAAGCCACCUGGUUGGAAGGGUGGUGACGGUAGUGGUAGAAGAAGCACCGGCUAACUACGUG